GCUGGUGCCGGGGUGGCGGAUGAUCUCCAGCAGCUGCAUCUUGUCCACGGGAGAGAAGUAGUGCAUGCCUGGGUGUUGUCGUAAUAGGCAAAUGAAGAAAAACCGCCUUCAAUUAUAUCAACAAGUAAUAAUACAACUCUGUCCACGGAAGAGACUAAUGAGCCCUUUGCUCUGUGGAGUCAUGGCGAGCUCGCCGAAGCCCUGCGCCUCCGCCUCGUAGCCAGCUACGGGGCCCUUGUCUACACCUGUUCUUACCACUUCAAGAAUCUAUGAGACAAUAGAAAUUAUAGUACUAAUUUUUUUUAAUGUUUGUAAUAAUAAAAAAGGUAAAAAUUCUAUCUCAAUAAAAAACUGUAUUAUACAGAAGUGACAAAUGUUAAAAAUAUCUGAUCGGUAUUGAAACUCAAGGUUAUUGGAACUGCAACUAUUUAUUUUAUAACAAUAUCAAUGAAUGUUUACUUUUUAUAUAAAAUAAAAUAGUUUCACUUUGUCAA